rnacentral:rRNA from 1 species
UGGGGAAUAUUGCACAAUGGAGGAAACUCUGAUGCAGCAAUGCCGCGUGUGUGAAGAAGGCCUUCGGGUUGUAAAGCACUUUCAGACGCGAGGAAAAGCUAACUAUUAAUACUAGUUAGCCUUGACGUUAACGUCAGAAGAAGCACCGGCUAACUCCGUGCCAGCAGCCGCGGUAAUACGGAGGGUGCAAGCGUUAAUCGGAAUUACUGGGCGUAAAGCGCGCGUAGGCGGAUAAAUAAGUCAGAUGUGAAAUCCCUGGGCUCAACCUAGGAACUGCAUUUGAUACUGUUUAUCUAGAGUAUGGUAGAGGUGAGUGGAAUUUCAGGUGUAGCGGUGAAAUGCGUAGAGAUCUGAAGGAACAUCAGUGGCGAAGGCGACUCACUGGGCCAUUACUGACGCUGAGGUGCGAAAGCGUGGGUAGCAAACA